rnacentral:rRNA from 1 species
GUUGGUGAUAAUAACAUAGAGGAAAUACCUGUUCCCAUACCGAACACAGAAGUCAAGCUCUAAUGUGCCGAAAAUACUUGCGGGUUACCCUGCUGGAAAAAUAGGUUGUCGCCAAUA